rnacentral:rRNA from 1 species
GAUGAACGCUGGCGGCGUGCCUAAUACAUGCAAGUCGAGCGAACGGACGAGAAGCUUGCUUCUCUGAUGUUAGCGGCGGACGGGUGAGUAACACGUGGAUAACCUACCUAUAAGACUGGGAUACCUUCGGGAAACCGGAGCUACUACCGGAUGAUAUUUUGAACCGCAUGGUUCAAAAGUGGAAUACGGUCUUGCUGUCGCUUAUAGACUGAUCAGCCCUGCAUUAGCUAGUUGGUAAGGUAACGGCUUACCAAGGCAACGAUGGAUAGCCGACCUGAGAGGGAGAACGGCCACACUGGAACUGAGACACGGCCCAGACUCCUACGGGAGGCAGCAGUAGGGAAUCUUGCGCAAGGGGCGAAAGCCUGACGGAGCAACGCCGCGUGAGUGAUGAUGGACUUCGGCUCGUAAAGCGCUGUUGUUCGGAAAGAAGAUAUGUGUAAGUACCCGGGCAGAUCAUGACGGUACCUGAAGAAUAAGCCACGGCUAACUACGUG